AGUGAACGCUGGCGGUAGGCCUAACACAUGCAAGUCGAACGGCAGCACAGAGGAGCUUGCUCCUUGGGUGGCGAGUGGCGGACGGGUGAGGAAUACAUCGGAAUCCACUCUGUCGUGGGGGAUAACGUAGGGAAACUUACGCUAAUACCGCAUACGACCUACGGGUGAAAGCAGGGGAUCUUCGGACCUUGCGCGAUUGAAUGAGCCGAUGUCGGAUUAGCUAGUUGGCGGGGUAAAGGCCCACCAAGGCGACGAUCCGUAGCUGGUCUGAGAGGACGACCAGCCAAACUGGGACUGAGACACGGCCCAGACUCCUACGGGAGGCAGCAGUGGGGAAUUUUGGACAAUGGGGGCAACCCUGAUCCAGCCAUUCCGCGUGUGGGAAGAAGGCCUUCGGGUUGUAAACCACUUUCGGACGGGAAGAAAUCGACGUGACGAAUAAUCGUGUCGGAUGACGGUACCGUAAGAAGAAGCACCGGCUAACUACGUGCCAGCCGCCGCUGUAA
rnacentral:rRNA from 1 species